rnacentral:rRNA from 1 species
AAAUUGAAGAGUUUGAUCAUGGCUCAGAUUGAACGCUGGCGGCAGGCCUAACACAUGCAAGUCGAGCGGAAACGACACAUUGAAUCUUCGGAGGAUUUGUUGGGCGUCGAGCGGCGGACGGGUGAGUAAUGCCUAGGAAAUUGCCUUGAUGUGGGGGAUAACCAUUGGAAACGAUGGCUAAUACCGCAUAAUGCCUACGGGCCAAAGAGGGGGA